UAGUAUUUAAAAGGUGAGAGAGUAUCGUUGAGGUCAGCAUUAAUUUCUUUCAUGCAAUCAUAGACAUUUCAUAAUUUCACCAAUGUGUACUAUGUUAUUUAUUUUGUUCUAUUUUAUUUGUGUUAGAGUUUAUAUUUGGGUUUACGGUUUAUAUUUGGGUAAGGGUUUAGUGAUUAUAAUUUAGGGUUUAGUAUUUAGAAGGUGAGGAAGUAUGAUUGGGGUCAUCAUUAACUUCUUACAUGCAAUCAUAGACAUUUCAUAAUUUCACUAAUAUGAACUAUGUUAUUUAUUUUGUUCUAUUCUAUUUGGGUUAGAGUUAUAUUUGGGUUUAUGAUUUAUAUUUAGGUAAGGGUUUAGUAAUUGUAAUUUAGGAUUUAGUAUUUAGAGGUCGAGGUGUGAUUGGGACAAAGUUUAGUACCUAGGGUUUGCAGUUGUGAUAUGUUUAGUAUUACGGGUUGUAGGUGAAGUUAUAAUCUUAUACUACUUCAGUUAUAUAGAAUAAAACAUUUGGUAUAUCUAUGUAUGUGACUAAUAAAAGUGUAACGUGGAUGACUCCUUCUUCUUUCUAAUAAAAUAUUUAAGACAUACUUGACUAUGUAUUACAUAGACUACGUGGACACACAGAACACAUUUUUACUGGAUAAUGGCAAAGAAGAAAAGUAUAACCGGAUGAAUUAGGGUGUUAAAUGUUAGUUUAUUCAUUAUG
rnacentral:lncRNA from 1 species